UACGUAGGCGGCGAGCGUUGUUCGGAGUUACUGGGCGUAAAGGGUGUGUAGGCGGUUGUUUAAGUUUGGUGUGAAAUCUCCCGGCUCAACUGGGAGGGUGCGCCGAAUACUGAAUGACUUGGAGUGCGGGAGAGGAAUGUGGAAUUCCUGGUGUAGCGGUGAAAUGCGUAGAUAUCAGGAGGAACACCGGUGGUGUAGACGGCUUUCUGGACCGUAACUGACGCUGAGACACGAAAGCGUGGGUAGCAAACAGG
rnacentral:rRNA from 1 species